CACCUACGGGGGGCUGCAGUGGGGAAUCUUGCACAAUGGGGGAAACCCUGAUGCAGCGACGCCGCGUGAGCGAUGAAGCCCUUCGGGGUGUAAAGCUCUUUCGACGGGAACGAUAAUGACGGUACCCGGAGAAGAAGCUGCGGCUAACUACGUGCCAGCAGCCGCGGUAAUACGUAGGCAGCAAGCGUUGUUCGGAGUUACUGGGCGUAAAGAGUGCGUAGGCGGUGCCCUAAGUCUGUCGUGAAAUCUCCCGGCUUAACUGGGAGGGUGCGGUGGAAACUGGGGUGCUUGAGUGUGGGAGAGGUAAGCGGAAUUCCUGGUGUAGCGGUGAAAUGCGUAGAUAUCAGGAGGAACACCGGUGGUGUAGACGGCUUACUGGACCAUGACUGACGCUGAGGCACGAAAGCGUGGGUAGCAAACAGGAUUAGAUACCCUAGUAGUCGGG
rnacentral:rRNA from 1 species